CAAUCACCGGCCAGCCACGCGACCACUUUGGGGGGCCCUCCAAGCGUCCCGCCCACCCCCGGCGCGGUAGGCGUCUCCAACAACCAAUCAGAGAUGGCUGAACAUUAAUCGCCGUUCUGUGUUACUGCCCAUCAUUUCACUGCUGACAAAUGGCGAACUAGAGGGGAGGAGCCGGCCUGGAUGGAACCCACGUGGGGCCCGGGCGUCGUCCGUGGCUCGGACCAAUGAAUGCAACGAAAUGGGAUAGUUGCUGGAAAUUUCUGCCAUUCUUAAACAAAGCAUCUUUGUGCUGUAUCAGCUUGCAUUUUCCUUGGAUUGUAUUUGGAUGAUGCCUUUUCACUGACUUCAGCACUGGAGUAUUGUAGCCACAGCUUUAAUGCGGGCACUUGGGCACAUGGCCACACUACACUGCAGAGGAAGAAUGGGAAAUGCAGUCACACUUUGUGCCCAGGAAUGGGAGAAGAGGUUUGGAAGACACCCAGAAGUCUCUACCACAUUGUCAAUUUUGAUAGUGAUUUAGCUACAAGUUUCUCUGUUUUCAUCUCAAGGAAAAAAUUAGUAAACC
ensembl:lncRNA